rnacentral:rRNA from 1 species
CCUACGGGUGGCAGCAGUGGGGGAUAUUGCACAAUGGGGGAAACCCUGAUGCAGCGACGCCGCGUGGGCGAAGAAGUAUUUCGGUAUGUAAAGCCCUAUCAGCAGGGAAGAAGAAAUGACGGUACCUGAGUAAGAAGCACCGGCUAAAUACGUGCCAGCAGCCGCGGUAAUACGUAUGGUGCAAGCGUUAUCCGGAUUUACUGGGUGAAAAGGGCGUGUAGGCGGAUCGUUAAGUCAGUGGUCAAAUUGAGGGGCUCAACCCCUUCCCGCCAUUGAAACUGGCGUUCUUGAGUGGAAGAGAAGUAUGCGGAAUGCGUGGUGUAGCGGUGAAAUGCAUAGAUAUCACGCAGAACCCCGAUUGCGAAGGCAGCAUGCCGGCUUCCGACUGACGCUGAAGCACGAAAGCGUGGGGAUCGAACAGGAUUAGAUACCCUGGUAGUC